CAGCGAUGGGCGCCCUCCACUCAGUUGAUAGCAAUGAAACAGUGCAUAUCGCGCAGCUCUAACUGUAAUCUGCUCAGUGUUGUAAUCGAUCAACGACUCAGAAUUGACACCUGUCGAUAUCUAAUCGAGAUACUAUCUCGCCGCAUCUCUGGCGACUAAACAGCAGAGUCACAAAUCUGCGGUAAAACUCAACUAAUUUCUCAAGUGUCGUCAUAAACUUGGUUAGACCUGUUCCCACAUCUAUGGAGUUUCAUCUAGACAGUGCAGAAUACUGCCAGGCACAGCACAAA